rnacentral:rRNA from 1 species
GAUGAACGCUGGCGGCGCGCCUAACACGUGCAAGUCGAACGAUUAAAGCACCUUCGGGUGUGUAUAAAGUGGCGAACGGCUGAGUAACACGUGGGCAACCUGCCCCUCUCAUUGGGAUAGCCACGGGAAACCGUGGAUAAUACCGAAUACUUCGGGACUUCCGCAUGGAAGACUCGAGAAAGCUCCGGCGGGGAGGGAUGGGCCCGCGGCCUGUUAGCUUGUUGGUGGGGUAAUGGCCUACCAAGGCAAUGAUGGGUAGCUGGGUUGAGAGACCGACCAGCCAGAUUGGGACUGAGACACGGCCCAGACUCCUACGGGAGGCAGCAGUGGGGAAUCUUGCACAAUGGGCGAAAGCCUGAUGCAGCGACGCCGCGUGCGGGAUGAAGGCCUUCGGGUUGUAAACCGCUUUCAGCAGGGACGAGGCGAAAGUGACGGUACCUGCAGAAGAAGCCCCGGCUAACUACGUG